rnacentral:rRNA from 1 species
UGAGGAAUAUUGGUCAAUGGGCGCGAGCCUGAACCAGCCAAGUAGCGUGAAGGAUGACUGCCCUAUGGGUUGUAAACUUCUUUUAUACGGGAAUAAAGUGAGGCACGUGUGCCUUUUUGUAUGUACUUUAUGAAUAAGGAUCGGCUAACUCCGUGCCAGCAGCCGCGGUAAUACGGAGGAUCCGAGCGUUAUCCGGAUUUAUUGGGUUUAAAGGGAGCGUAGAUGGGUUGUUAAGUCAGUUGUGAAAGUUUGCGGCUCAACCGUAAAAUUGCAAUUGAUACUGGCGUCCUUGAGUACAGUUGAGGUGGGCGGAAUUCGUGGUGUAGCGGUGAAAUGCUUAGAUAUCACGAAGAACUCCUAUUGCGAAGGCAGCUCACUAAACUGCAACUGACAUUGAGGCUCGAAAGUGUGGGGUAUCAAACAGGAUUAGGAUACC